AAAAAGGGUAUCUGCCGUGACUGGCACAGGGAGGGAGGAAUAAUCUGACUUCCCUGCGGAAUCGAUAUCAAGAGAUUUCGGAUGCAUAAUUUUUACUCUCCGGGGUUGCCAAUGAUCGUUUAUCUUGGCGCCCCA